rnacentral:rRNA from 1 species
UACGUAGGGGGCUAGCGUUGUCCGGAAUCAUUGGGCGUAAAGCGCGUGUAGGCGGCCCUGCAAGUCGGAUGUGAAAUCCCACGGCUCAACCGUGGAAGUGCAUUCGAAACUGCAGGGCUAGAGUCCUGGAGAGGAAGGUGGAAUGCUUGGUGUAGAGGUGAAAUUCGUAGAUAUCAAGCGGAACACCGGUGGCGAAGGCGGCCUUACUGGACAGUGACUGAC